rnacentral:rRNA from 1 species
AGCGAACGCUGGCGGCAGGCUUAACACAUGCAAGUCGAGCGGGCACUUCGGUGUCAGCGGCAGACGGGUGAGUAACACGUGGGAACGUACCCUUCGGUUCGGAAUAACGCUGGGAAACUAGCGCUAAUACCGGAUACGCCCUUUUGGGGAAAGGUUUACUGCCGUAGGAUCGGCCCGCGUCUGAUUAGCUAGUUGGUGGGGUAAUGGCCUACCAAGGCGACGAUCAGUAGCUGGUCUGAGAGGAUGAUCAGCCACACUGGGACUGAGACACGGCCCAGACUCCUACGGGAGGCAGCAGUGGGGAAUAUUGGACAAUGGGCGCAAGCCUGAUCCAGCCAUGCCGCGUGAGUGAUGAAGGCCUUAGGGUUGUAAAGCUCUUUUGUCCGGGACGAUAAUGACGGUACCGGAAGAAUAAGCCCCGGCUAACUUCGUG